GAUUCUAAAGGACAACUUUGUGAGUGUGGUAUUAUUCCUGGUUGACAGUUUCUUCUCACCAAUUUGAAAAGACCGUCAAGUUUUUGCUGACUAAUCUGUUGGUAGUCUUACAGGGUUUCCUUUGUAUGUUGCAAGGUUUUCUCUUCCUGCUUUAAGAUUCUUUACUUUGGCCACUUCAGUUACACUGUGUCUGUGUGCAUUUCUUUAGAUUGAUACUUUCUGGAACUCUUCAGGCUUCCUGACUCUCUGACAGGAUGAAUUCCACUGGCCUGUUUUCCAAGUUUGCUGAUCCUUCUGUUUGAUCUAGUCUGCUGUUGACCCAUCUACCGAAUUUUUCAGCUGUAGGAUUCGAUACUUAAUUUUCUUGUUGAGAUUUUCGGUUUAUUCCUGUGGCUCUGACCUCCGUGAGCAUCUGUAGAGCUUACUUCGCACUCUUAGAGGUUCCUGUGCUCUGUGGCCGGAUUACUGUCAACAGACUGCAUGUGAUCUCAUCUAGACAUACUCCGUUUAUUAUGUAACUUAAACAGCUGCACAGAAUGCUACAAAAGCAGAAGAUUUUAAGUAGUGUGGCAAAGAGCAUACUAAUUGGGGUCCCGAUUGUUCUUCUGCCAAGGAUCCCGAGGUGGCAUCUCAGUUAGCAACAGCCGUGGCUCAGUAAGUGACAAGGGCUGGUGGUCCUUACUCAGAAACUUCAGAUGAUGGAAAAUCCCAGUGCCUGAUCAUGCUAACAGAGUCGAAGAAAACGCGUCUCUGCCAUCUCCUCUCCAGCACUGGUACUGGUUAUCAAGCAAGCGACAGUAACAGAAAA